GAAGGCCCGGCACAGAAUGGCAUCGGGUGCGCCAUGAAGCAGCAUCAUCAUCCGGAAGGCCUCCAGAUGAUCAACUGGGUCUGAAGUCCCGUCGUAGCUUUCGAACUGGGGGAGUUUGAAGUUUGGAGGGAUCGGUUCCUGCAUGAUCAUCUGAGAGAAGGGAGGGUCAGUGCAAAUAUCCUUACCAUAGGCGGGGGGAGCGUGGCGGAGUUCUUCGAUCCGCCGGUUCAUCUCCUGGAGUC
rnacentral:lncRNA from 1 species